rnacentral:sRNA from 1 species
AUGGCUGUCGUCAGCUCGUGUCGUGAGAUGUUGGGUUAAGUCCCGUAACGAGCGCAACCCCUAUCCUUAGUUGCCAGCACGUAAUGGUGGGAACUCUAGGGAGACUGCCGGUGACAAACCGGAGGAAGGUGGGGAUGACGUCAAAUCAUCACGGCCCUUACGUCCUGGGCCACACACGUGCUACAAUGGUAGGUACAAAGGGCAGCCACUUGGUGACAAGGAGCUAAUCUCAAAAACCUAUCUCAGUUCGGAUUGGAGUCUGAAACUCGACUCUAUGAAGCUGGAAUCGCUAGUAAUCGCGCAUCAGCCAUGGCGCGGUGAAUACGUUCCCGGGCCUUGUACACACCGCCCGUCAAGCCAUGGAAGCUGGGGGUACCUGAAGUCGGUAACCGUAAGGAGCUGCCUAGGGUAAAACUAGUAACUGGGGCUAAGUCGUAACAAGGUAGCCGUACCGGAAGGUGCGGCUGGAACACCUCCUUUUUAGAGAAAAACGGAUGGUUCGUGAUAAUUUUUAUGAACGACGUAGUUGUUUCUUUUCCUUCAAAAUAUUGAAUUAAGCAGGAAGUCCUCCCUAUUGGACUCAGAGUAGGAGGAUUUUAUAAAGUCCCGUAGCUCAGUUGGUUAGAGCACUACACUGAUAAUGUAGGGGUCAGCAGUUCAAAUCUGCUCGGGACUACUAGACUUUUUUUUAAGAAGUUUAAGUAUACUGGGGGAUUAGCUCAGCUGGCUAGAGCACCUGCCUUGCACGCAGGGGGUCAUCGGUUCGACUCCGAUAUCCUCCACGUAAAAAGUUCAUUGACAUAUUGGAAUUGAUUGAAGUAGUAAACAAAUAGAGAAAAAACUAAUAAGUUUGAUAAGUUACUAAGGGCACACAGGGAAUGCCUUGGCUCUGAGAGGCGAAGAAGGACGUGAUAAGCUGCGAUAAGGUACGGGGAUAAGCAAAUAUUAAUUGAUCCGUACAUUUCCGAAUGGGGAAACCCGG